UGGGCGGAACCUGACCUAUACCAUGCCGCGUGUGUGAAGAACGGCCUUGUGUGUUGUAAGAGCACUAUAAGCGAGGAGGAGGCUACUGGAUUAAUACUCUGGGAUAGUGGACGUUACUCGCAGAAUAAGCACCAGGCUAACUCUGUGCCAGCAGCCGCGGUAAUACAGAGGGUGCGAGCGUUAAUCGGAUUUACUGGGCGUAAAGCGUGCGUAGGCGGCUUUUUAAGUCGGAUGUGAAAUCCCCGAGCUUAACUUGGGAAUUGCAUUCGAUACUGGGAAGCUAGAGUAUGGGAGAGGAUGGUAGAAUUCCAGGUGUAGCGGUGAAAUGCGUAGAGAUCUGGAGGAAUACCGAUGGCGAAGGCAGCCAUCUGGCCUAAUACUGACGCUGAGGUACGAAAGCAUGGGGAGCAAACAGGAUUAGAUACCCUGGUAGUCCAUGCCGUAAACGAUGUCUACUAGCCGUUGGGGCCUUUGAGGCUUUAGUGGCGCAGCUAACGCGAUAAGUAGACCGCCUGGGGAGUACGGUCGCAAGACUAAAACUCAAAUGAAUUGAUGGGGGCCCGCACAAGCGGUGGAGCAUGUGGUUUAAUUCGAUGCAACGCGAAGAACCUUACCUGGCCUUGACAUACUAGAAACUUUCCAGAGAUGGAUUGGUGCCUUCGGGAAUCUGAUUCCGGUGCUGCAUGGCUGUCGUCAGCUCGUGUCGUGAGAUGUUGGGGUAAGUCCCGGACGAGCGCAACCCUUUUCUUUUUGCAGCGAGUAUGCCGGAACUUAGGAU
rnacentral:rRNA from 1 species